GAAGACUUGAUGUGAUGACAGGGAUGGAAUCUUUUUGGAUCCCACCGCUGCCACCAAAAUGUGAAGACUUGAUGUGAUGACAGGGAUGGAAUCUUUUUGGAUCCCACCUCUGCCACCAAAUUGCGAAGGAUUCAACUUCUACCUCUAUGUAUCCUACUUUUCAAUGUUGUCGCUGCCACCACCUUUGAAAGAUGCUUUGCUCAAAUAAUAAGCAACAUUUGAAGAAACAGUAACUUGUUUAUUUAUAGCACAAAGCUUGAUGGUUGCAAGAAUGUUAUAACUUGAGGUGAACGAUGUUACUUCUGUACAGUAAGUGUUGCAAGAUUUCUCAAUAGUUUCACUGAGCUUAGUAUGGUAUCAGCUUUAUAUUACUUGUUUCUUUCAGUUAGGAAUACUGUCCUUCUUGAACUUAUUUGAUCGGGUACAGAUCAACUAAGUUCAAGAAGGACAGUAUUCCUAACUGAAAGAAACAAGUCAUAUAAAGCUGAUACCAUACUAAGCUCAGAGAAACUAUUGAGAAAUCUUGCAACACUUACUGUGCAGAAGUAACAUCGUUCAACUCAAGAUAUAACAUUCUUGCGACCAUCAAGCUUUGUGCUAUAAAUAAACAAGUUACUGUUUCUUCAA